rnacentral:rRNA from 1 species
UGGAGCUGAAAUCAGUCGAAGAUACCAGCUGGCUGCAACUGUUUAUUAAAAACACAGCACUGUGCAAACACGAAAGUGGACGUAUACGGUGUGACGCCUGCCCGGUGCCGGAAGGUUAAUUGAUGGGGUUAUCCGUAAGGAGAAGCUCUUGAUCGAAGCCCCGGUAAACGGCGGCCGUAACUAUAACGGUCCUAAGGUAGCGAAAUUCCUUGUCGGGUAAGUUCCGACCUGCACGAAUGGCGUAAUGAUGGCCAGGCUGUCUCCACCCGAGACUCAGUGAAAUUGAACUCGCUGUGAAGAUGCAGUGUACCCGCGGCAAGACGGAAAGACCCCGUGAACCUUUACUAUAGCUUGACACUGAACACUGGUCCUUGAUGUGUAGGAUAGGUGGGAGGCUUUGAAGUGUGGACGCCAGUCUGCAUGGAGCCAUCCUUGAAAUACCACCCUUUAAUGGCUGGUGUUCUAACGUGGACCCGUAAUCCGGGUUGCGGACAGUGUCUGGUGGGUAGUUUGACUGGGGCGGUCUCCUCCUAAAGAGUAACGGAGGAGCACGAAGGUUAGCUAAUCCUGGUCGGACAUCAGGAGGUUAGUGCAAAGGCAUAAGCUAGCUUGACUGCGAGAGUGACGGCUCGAGCAGGUGCGAAAGCAGGUCUUAGUGAUCCGGUGGUUCUGAAUGGAAGGGCCAUCGCUCAACGGAUAAAAGGUACUCCGGGGAUAACAGGCUGAUACCGCCCAAGAGUUCAUAUCGACGGCGGUGUUUGGCACCUCGAUGUCGGCUCAUCACAUCCUGGGGCUGAAGUAGGUCCCAAGGGUAUGGCUGUUCGCCAUUUAAAGUGGUACGCGAGCUGGGUUUAGAACGUCGUGAGACAGUUCGGUCCCUAUCUGCCGUGGGCGCUGGAGAAUUGAGGGGGGCUGCUCCUAGUACGAGAGGACCGGAGUGGACGCAUCACUGGUGUUCGGGUUGUCAUGCCAAUGGCAUUGCCCGGUAGCUAAAUGCGGAAGAGAUAAGUGCUGAAAGCAUCUAAGCACGAAACUUGCCCCGAGAUGAGUUCUCCCUGAGACU